rnacentral:lncRNA from 1 species
GCUCUUUUGAGGAAAUAGGAGACCCACUCUUCUGGCAAUGACUAGAUGAAUCAUUUUGUCGAAAAGGCCAAUGACACUGGGUAGAAGAGUGAGUUCACUGAAACCAUGGAUGUUUGCCCUUAUUGUCAGAGCUGUUGUGUUGAUUCUGGUGAUACUGAUUGGUCUCCUUGUUUAUUUUUUGGCAUAUGGCCUGAAGUUUUACUAUUACCAGACCUCCUUCCAGAUCCCCAGUAUUGAAUAUAAUCCUGAUUUUUCAGUAGAACACUCAAAACUUAGCACCGACCUGAAACAAAAAGUCAGUAACGAGCAUCAAAAUCUGGCCAAAAGAAUUUAUUUAGAGCCUAAAAAGCUGAUCUUUCAAUCACAUCCAUGAGGAUGAUAACUGAGCUGGAAUGAUACUGAGUGAUGAAUAUUUCAGAGAUCCAAUUUAAACCAUCAUUACAUAAAGUGUCAAGUUGUCAACUUUAGGCCAAGUAAUGACAAUUUGAAAGCAGAUGUAUUGCUUAAAUUUCAGUUUAUUCCUAACAAUGAGAACGCAAUAAAAACACAAGCUGAUAACAUUUUGCAUCAGAAGUUGAAAUCAAAUGAAAGCUUCUUGAAGACAGACACUUCAUUACCUUAUCUUAGAGGCAAGGAAUACUAUUUUUCUUUCAUAUUAUAGUUACUCAUUUUAAU